AGUCCCUGUGCUCGGUCUGUGGAAAGCCCUUCCACAGACCAAAGGAACAUCUCCCUUUCUCUCUCCAUAUAUAUAUAUAUAUAUAUAUAUAUAUAUAUAUAUAUAUAUAUAUAUAGUUUGAGUCCGUUCAAGCAGGAGAUGAGAGAUUUGAAACAACUGAAGAACGACACUAGCAAGAUUAAUUAGCACUUCCCCUGCCGGUGGCGGACUCCCUCAGGUAUCGGUGCGUUGGUGGUUCUUUGUAUCUGGGGGUGGGCGUCCGGGUACACACCGGCUCACUCCUUGGCGGCCGCUUAUUGGGGCUCGCUCGGGCCCCUUCGGAGGUGGGGUGCCCCCGGCCUCUCGGCCUGGGGCUCGGUCACUCAGGCACAGCUGGCUGCCGGCGGAGCUCACGGGCGCGUCACUGCAACUCCCCCUGGCUUCUGCUCCGCGGCUGCUGAGUGAGCCCUCAUCUGGGACUCUCCUUAGCUCUUACUGGGACAGUGGCGCAGCUGCCCCUCUGUGGGUCUUCCUUGGUCUCUUGUGUUCUGGGGGCCUCUGGAUGUCUGGAGUUUUGAUCUCCUCCAUACCUGCUUGAUACCAUAGAGGACAGGGCUGUGGCUCCCCACACUCCCUAGCAGAUCAUUACAUGGAGAAACCUUUGGAAUACAAGCAUGCUGAUCCACACAGGUAUGCACACAGGUGUACACAUGGGUAUUCACAGAUGCGGACUACAGCUUUCUUGGCUGCUGCCUCAAAGCACACUGUGCGCUGUCUAUCUUGCGUGCUGCACAAUAUCGUUUAUUAUUUAGUAACUAUUGAUAUCUACUGCUAUCUAGUUUAUUGUGAUGGUGCUUUUUUUUUUUUUUUUUUUCUAUUAUUAUGUUGCUCUUUGUUGUUUGCUGUCUCCCCUGGUUUUUUUUUUGUUUUUCUCUCUCUCCAUACAGGUGACCCAGGAGUUUUUUUUUUUUUUUUUUUUUUUUUGUUUGUUUGUUUUUUCUCUCUCUCUCUUCCCCCCCUUCUCACCGUCUCUUCUCCCCUUUGGUUUUCUUUCUUUCUCUCCCCCUCUUUCUUUCAUUCUUUCCCCCUGUCCUAAAAAAAAAAAAAAAAAAAAGGAUGACAAAGGAUGAACUGAAGCUCCGCCAUCACGUGAUGUCACAUGCUGCUGUUUCUGAUGUCACUUCCAAAAAAAAAAAAAAAAAAGAUUAAUUAGCAGGGAGGUAAUUACAGUAAUUACAUUUUUAUAUUUUGUCUCUCAGUGAUUCAAAAUCACUGAAUCAUACCUGUUUGUUAUCCUAAAAGCAGAGACACAAUACAUGGCCUAAAAUAUUAGGCUCUUUGGCUCUGCUAGAUAUACAAACAAUAAUAGAAGGAGGACUCUUUAAAGAUCAAUAGCUUCAGUUAUUUAAGCUGAUCUCACUAUUUCUGUUCCUGUGACUCAAACAAAUAGGUUUGACAUCACAUUAUUCUUUCUUACACUGACACCACUUUCACAAAAGUUUCAAAGAUGACUGUUAAGAUCCUGUUAAAUCUAUAGUUAUACCUCCUCUGCUGCCAUCUGCAGUGGGAGGGACUAAGAUGUGAGGAGUGGAGUUAAUUAUCUGCAAUCUAAGGAAGGACAAAGACGUAUGUUUCUUGGCUGACUUGGGAACGCCUCAGUGUUUCCCUAAAGGAGCUGGAGGAGGUGGCUGAGGAGAGGGAGGUAUGGGUGUCUUAAUCAGUAUGAAUAAAAUAUGUAUUUGUGAAUAACUUUUCAAGUUAUUUCUGAAUGUUCACUUUUACUUCUGCCAUAUCGGUUAAAUGCUGCCUCCUGGUGUCCUGUGAUCAUGACGUCAUCAUGAAAUAAUCACAACAAUAAGUAUUUUGUUGUCAGUUAUAACACCUACAGCAAAUAAUAAUUAAUCACACAGACCAUUAAACAAUCUGAUUGCAAAAACUUUUUUAUUCAUUUAUCUUUGUUCUCAGAUUGAAGACAGAAUAAGAAAACUUCAAACAUUCAUACUUAAUAAAAUUUGUAACAAUUAUAAACAAAACUGUUUUUUAAAGCGCUAUCAGUAAUUACUGAGAAAAGUCAACAUUUCUUAAUAAAUAUUUCUGUUAAAGUGUGAAUUAACAAGCAAAAAAUACUAGGGUCUUGUUUCCUACAGCUUUUGUUUCAUCGUUUCCAUCAUCUUCAUUUAGAAAUCACUGGAGGACACAGCAGAGUUCCCUGUGGUGGUAAAAGAAUGAAGGUGACAUGAAAAGAAGAAGAAGAAGCACCAUUAGACAGAUACACACAGUGUCUUUUUAUUACCUAUAUUAUAAUCUUCACAUAUUUGCUAGAAAGUCACAGCUGGUUUUUCUAAACUUUGUGUCCACAUUUUUAUUAAUAUUUCGUUUCUCACCUCAUUUAUUUUCCUUUUAAGCCACUCGGUGUUUGGUCUGAGGAAAAAUGUUCUAUUUCCACGUGUUUUAACCCUGGACGAAAAAACAGAAGAAUAAAGAAAGAAGUUUAGAGCGAAGAAGACAAAUCAAAGGAUUAGACAUUUUCACUUUAUUGUUAACUGAACAUGUGCAGGGUCCAUUUUGCAUUAUGCUGUGAGAGAACAGCUCAGGUUUCCUCCAAGCUCAUAAGCACAAACUCACAGAUUCCCCAACGUCACCACAUUAGAAACAAUCACAGAGCAAACAGUAGUGCUGUAUGUUAGAGAGGGGAACAUUUAUCUGCUACAUCAAGGUUUCAGUGCAAAUCUCAUUUUCAUUGUUGUGUUUGUGGAUUUUUAAUCAAGAAUUCAUUUCUACAUUUUAUUUGGUUUAAGUGUAUUUAGAAGAAGUUCUACUUACACAUAGCCAUGAAGGCAGCCUGGUCUGUUGUCUUCAAAGCAGCUGAUGAUGUUUUUUGCCCAUUUAGGUGUAGACAUGUUUAUUACAAGUCUGUUAGAAUGUGUUUUAUAGCAGGUUUUCCCCACGUGGUCAGCCCCUGCAGCACAUCAUCACACACAUUGUCAUUAUUCUUCAGAGCCUUUCAGAUAUCAUGGAGAAUGAAAUAAGCUGAACUCUCAGAUGUUGUAUAAAUAAUUUACUGAUCUGUUAGCUGGUGUUACUGAACUUUGACAACAGAGAAAUAAAACCUGUACCUGAUACAGAGAUGAGCAUCAUCACACUCAGGGAGAUCAGAAGAAUCAGGCGGCUGGUGGAGAGACUCGAACACAUGUUGAGACGCUGAAAGGCACCAAAUCUGAGUCUGGAUCUGAGCCGUGAACAGUUUUCCAAUAACACAGUUUUGUGUAUUAUGGGAAGCGAUAUUUCCAGAGCUGAGGGCAGCAGUGUUCAAAUGGAUUGUUGCACAUCUCUAAUAAAAACAUGGAGA
ensembl:lncRNA